UACUUCUGAUGAAAGGGAUGUUUACUACCAGGCAUCUAACUUGAACCUGAUCUGGCAAGCUGCUGAGAAAUGAAAGAAGACCUCAGUACAACACAUGUAAAGCUGAUUUUAAUCCACGUAGAGCUGAGCCACCCUGAAGAAAUCACCAUCUACAUGUUUAUGCUCUCAUGAAGAAAUGAACAGGAAGGGGAGCACCAUGGUUACAGCUUCAUUUCUCA